ensembl:snoRNA
AGCCUCAUUCUAGAUGGAAAUGGGCACUGUCGUUCUUGGUGUCCAGAAAUUGUUAAUGUGGCUACAUUGAGACACAGGUUAUGCUUCCAUCACAACAAGUUUAUUGCUGUGGUGACAAUGAGGCCUGUAACAUUU